UCCGCGACAGCGUGGCUCCAUGAGCCAGCGCCCUGCGUGACUAGAAGGCACUUAAUUAAGAGCCUAGGACUCCCUAGCCAUAGUAACUGUGUACAGGUGUGGAACAACAGCUUCCAGCUGGUUGUCCGCUGUGCAGAAGUUUUCAUGCACUGAUUGGACGGGUGGAAAGCACUGGCUGUAUGUGCCAUGUCUGGUGUCAGGGCAUUGGGCUACGCAUUAACUCACAGUAAAAAUAGUGGAGGAAAUCAAGUCAUCAAGACUAUUGUGAUCAUUGUUAGAUGAUCACGCCUGUUGAAGUGGAGCACGUAGAUGAGGCUGCUGACAGAUCUCAUUUAGCUCCUAAAUCAGGAAUUACAAGAUUCUUCUGGCUCCACAAGUUAAGAGAUAGCAUGGCUGUUGCUUAACAGCAAUUUUCAAAUUCUCUUUCUUCAGGAAAAUCUCUUCCCCUGCUUCAUUACUGUUUUGUAAGUUACUUAUAGACACUGCUCACUUAACUACUGUCAAUACCUUUGUCAAUUUAGAGAGCAUAUAAGAAAUAAUCCUGUCAAGAAUAAGCCCAGUCACGAAGAGCCUGUAGUCACACAGGGGUGUGUAAGCUUCUGCGACUGUGCUGAGGUUCAACUGAAGAGUCACCCUCCAGUGUAAAAUUUGAGGAGUGCCUAUAGAGGUCAACAGUUGUAAAUGUAUGAAAGCAUGUAUAUAUCCUUUUGCUCAACAGUAGCAAACUUUGGAAUCUCGCAGACCUGACUGCUGUUCAGAGAAGAUUUGGGUGACAUGAAGUCAGUUAUCAACUCAAUGUAAUUUCUUUACUCAUUAAAAGAAUUUCACAGGGAAGGCAGGAUUGGGAGUUACUGGUAGUUGCCAGACAAUUUCAUGUUAGAAAUGAGAAGCUGUUUUUCAGAGGGGUAAUGCCCAUGCCUCUAGGGAAGCACAGACUGGUAUCAGUGCAGGUGUUCCACAGCUGAGGGCAUACAGAUUGGACUAGACAGUCCCCUCUGGCUUUAAAUCUACGCGUGUAUUUAGUACCUGAUUCUUUGGGCAUGGUUUCUGCUUGGUAAUUUUAUCGCCUCCUCCUAGGAAUUUCAGCCAGGAUAUACAGCAGGUAACAUCUGGUCUGCAAUUCCCCCAUGAUGUAUCAUAACAACAGGGGUUACUGGGCAGUCAAGUCAUGAAGUCUCAUUUUUCUGAGGAGACAAUAACUGUCAGUGCCACAUGGAAUCUUUGCUGCUUGGCUGGAUGCUGAGACAGUCCUGAGAGCCAGACAGAAAAUAAAGAGCUGAUGUUUGUACAGUUCCCAUCAUGAUCCCCACAGCAUUUCAGCCAUUUUCAAUACAGAAGAAAACACUCUUCAGGAUCAGAACUUCUGUCUUCUUUUUCUGUUGUGCUGAGAAGCAGACAGCUGGUGUCCUGUCUGGGUAAUAAAUGGAACCCAUGGAUAUGGUACAAUC